CUUAAACGGCACACACCUUUCUGUGCCCUCCUGUAGGGAAAACAGCUUCCGGUUCUCCACCAAGGAGGCUUGCGUCUCGCUGCGGCGACCGAAUGCAUACAGUGGGUGCUGAAGGAUAACUUUCUCGUUAAUGAAUUCAGGUGAAACCACUUCAAAAUAAAGGUUUAGCCAACUUCAAAAAUAAAAACGCCGUAGCCAAUUAUUAUGCAAAGAAGGAUGGGGGGGUGCGGGGGGGGGCGCAGAAAAUCCCUUUCAGGCGGGGCGGGUCCAAGAACCAGCUUAAUAGCUGUGAGCAAUUCGCUUAUCACCCCUUUAAGGCUCUCCGUCCUCUGCAAAAUGAGGAUGACAAUAAAACCUUCUUCACAGGAUUAUUGAGAGUUUCUAAUGAGAUAAUGCAUAUUUAGUGGUUAUGAAUUUUAUUCUAAAACAAAGAAUAUAAAAAAUACCACAUUCAGAAUUUUUCUAAAUCAUACCAGAUCAACUUGCCUCUGUGGGGAGAAAUGAAGCCUCAGUCACGUGUGCGGUCCCCACCCCAUCUCUAGGGUCACACAAGAAUCACUGGUGGAUCUGUGGUGUCCAAAACGCCAGGGUCAGCUCUCUAGCCUUAGUCCAUCAGGGUCACUGCCAACAUCCACCCUUGCCCAAGCCAGCCUGGUGCCUAAAGCCUGUCAGCCCCCUGAGCGUAGGGUUUGGCCUCCUGAGGGGGCUCCUCUGAAGGGUUCAGAAUAUGCCACCCCAAAAUAUGCCACUUUGGCAUGAGGAUUAUAACAAAUUGAAACAGCAAGCAUUAGGAUAUAUUGGAGUAUAUGAGGAAGACAUUUGGUAUAAACCUAAUUCGGCCUGACUUUGUUUUUUCCAAAAGGGCCUGACUGUGGCCAUUGAGCACCCACUGCAUAUCCGCUUUAAAACAUUUCCUAUGGCAAGAACAGAUGGCUUUAAGAUAAAGGUGCAACUUCCCUCCCCCUCCCAACGUUGGCAUCUCCUUAAAGACUAAGCAUCUUUCCUUAGGCUGGGAACUGAUUGCUGUGCUCACCUGUGACCACCCAGCUCAAGGCAACAGACCUGCCACCCUCCUGUGUUCACCGAGACAGCUGACCUAUCUGCUGUUUCCAUCAAUCGCUGUGCUGACAGAGCAGCCUCGUGACUAUUGUAAAAGCGACAUUUCAAUCAUAUGUGAAACAUCCUCUUUGGGGGUAUAUAACCACUCUGUGCACCCCACUUCUUUGGUGCCCUUUCUUCCUUCUGGAAGAAAGGCCCCGGGCCAUGGUCCUCAGAUUUCAGCUCAGAAUAAACUCACCCAAAUUUUCAUUUAUAGAUUGGUUAUGGAUUAUUUUCAUCGACAAUUAUUUUGAGCUGAGGGCAGUUGAGAAUCAACCGACUCAGGAAGAGUUCUCUGCUCUCCCCUUAACUGCCUGAAAGCAGGGCAUACAUCCCCCCUCUCCCUACCAGGAUGAGGAGAGCCUCUGUUAUCACAGGAGACCUGGGCCAGCACCAAAAUGAGUCUGCAUUAAAAAGCCUUACUAAAACUACCCUUAUCUUCCAUUAUUUUCUAGUCACCUUCCCACAAUUUAUCAUCUGUCAAAGCCCAAAUCCCGUCCUUUUGUCUAAUCACUUCUCCACAAUUUAUCUUCCUUUGUAAAAUGGUAUAUAAGCCCCUAUGUCUAACCACUUCUUGAGGUUUUUACUUCUGUUCUAUGAAGCCCUGUGCAUGUGAAAUUAAAAAUGUUAAGUUUCUCCUGUUAACCUCUUUCACCAGUUUAAUUCACAGGUGUCAGUCACUGAACCUAAGAGGAUAGAGGAAAAAGAUUUUUUUCCUCCCCUACACCUCACAGCCCAGUCCUCUGAAUUCCUUCCUCUUCCCCAGGGGGCUUUGGGUGGGGGUGAUGGAACAGGGCUUGUCUUUAUGACUUACAGAAUCCACUGAAAUCUCUGUGGACAUUGCCAACCUUGGGGGAACUUCUCCAAGCCUCUUGUCACUCCAGCACCUUCCACCUCUUCCCCUCUGAAGACCUCAGACUCUGUCCUACGCCCCUAAAGAAAUAUCUCCCACAGUCCCCAACACGACGAGGCAAGAGAGCCAAAACUUGGGAUGGCAAAGAGGGGAAAAAAACAACAGGGAGAACAGCAACGCGAAAAACACAAAUUACUCUCUCGGUAAAUCAUCCUGUAAAACAGUAGCACACGUACGAGGUCAAGCUUCAAGGAAUGGAAAUAAUUGUCACUGAUGCUAGAGGCUGGACUUGGGACUACAGAAUUGUCGCUAGCACUGUACAAUGGCUUUGGGUGGGGCCCAUUCACGUGUUUCCUUUGUUUUAUCCACCCACUCUCCCCUGGUGGCCGCCCUGCUGGUCUGGAUGUGCGCUCUGGGAGCAGAGGGCCCUUGCUGGGAGCUCACUCACUGGACCAUGCCUAGGUCUUUGCUAGGUGAGUUUCUUUUUUUUUUUUUUUUUUUUUUGAGGAAGUGUAGCCCUGAGCUAACUGCUGCCAAUCCUCCUCUUUUUGCUGAGGAAGACUGGCCCUGAGCUAACAUCCAUGCACAUCUUCUUCUACUUUAUAUGUGGGACACCUACCACAGCAUGGCGUGGUGCCAUGUCCACACCCAGGAUCCGAACUGACAAACCCCGGGCCGUGGAGAAGCAGAAUGUGCGCACUUAACCACUGCGCCACUGGGCUGGCCCUGCCCGGAUCCUUCUCACUGGUCUCCACCAGCAGGAGGCAUGUAAAUGGGAUGGUCGACAGCCAAGAGGAGAGCCAGCGCUUAAUGAAGGCGCAGUCUGUGUCGCAUGAUCUCAUCAGACCUCGCAGAAACCUCUGAAGUAGGCAUUGUCAGGUUUACAGAUGAGGAAACUGAGGCUCGGUGAUGUGUUGGCUUUGUGCCCAAGUUCACGCCGCUGAGAAGACACAGAGCUGGACGCUCCUCCUCAGUCCCUGGAGGCUGGUCUCUGCAAUCCAGCAGCCCAGGCGGUUCCCACCCCUCCCUGUGGCCUCCUCGGAAGGUACUGUUCCCCAGCCUGGCAGCAGGUGGGGACAGAACACCACUGGCCCCGCUCAAUUACCUUUGAAGUGUUCCCAGCCCAUGAGGAGGAUACCUGGGUGAGGAGACCAGGUGUCUGCAAGGCUUGGAGGAGACAGUGGCCCCAGGAACCAGCUAAGGUGGGUAAGGGCAGGUCAGCUGGCCAGGUAAACAUCAGGGCCGGCAAAUGUACUUCCUGGCAGAGGGGCCAGCCCAGGAGAGGAAAGGGGCUUUCACCAAGGUGGCCAGUCUGGCACUGUUACCUUGGGCUCACAGUAGAAAUGGAAGCAACACUGCGUUUCUUCUUGGCUCUUUUUAAAGGUUAUGCCAUUUUCCAGUUUUCAGGGGAGAAUCGUCCAGGAGGAUCAUGGUUCCGGUUGAUUCUAUAAAUAAAGAGGAA
rnacentral:lncRNA from 1 species